GGUUAAGUGAAUAAGGGCGCACGGUGGAUGCCUUGGCACUAGGAGCCGAUGAAGGACGGGACUAACACCGAUAUGCUUUGGGGAGCUGUACGUAAGCUAUGAUCCAGAGAUUUCCGAAUGGGGGAACCCAACAUCUUUAAUAGGAUGUUACGAUUGUGUGAAUACAUAGCACAUUCGAGGUAGACGCAGAGAACUGAAACAUCUAAGUACCUGCAGGAAGAGAAAGAAAAUUCGAUUCCCUGAGUAGCGGCGAGCGAAACGGGAAAAGCCCAAACCAGCAAGCUUGCUUGUUGGGGUUGUAGGACUCCAAUAUGGUAGUUCUUUCAGAUAGUCGAAUGACUUGGAAAAGUCAGUCAAAGAGGGUAAAAACCCCGUAGACGAAAUGUGGAAGACACCUAGGAGGAUCCUGAGUACGGCGGAACACGAGAAAUUCCGUCGGAAUCCGGGAGGACCAUCUCCCAAGGCUAAAUACUCCCUAGUGACCGAUAGUGAACCAGUACCGUGAGGGAAAGGUGAAAAGCACCCCGGAAGGGGAGUGAAAUAGAACCUGAAACCGUGUGCCUACAACAAGUCAAAGCCCGUUAAUGGGUGAUGGCGUGCCUUUUGUAGAAUGAACCGGCGAGUUACGAUUGCAUGCGAGGUUAAGUUGAAGAGACGGAGCCGCAGCGAAAGCGAGUCUGAAUAGGGCGUUUGAGUAUGUAGUCGUAGACCCGAAACCAUGUGAUCUACCCAUGUCCAGGUUGAAGGUGCGGUAAAACGCACUGGAGGACCGAACCCACGUACGUUGAAAAGUGCGGGGAUGAGGUGUGGGUAGCGGAGAAAUUCCAAACGAACUUGGAGAUAGCUGGUUCUCUCCGAAAUAGCUUUAGGGCUAGCCUCGGAAUUGAGAAUGAUGGAGGUAGAGCACUGUUUGGACU
rnacentral:rRNA from 1 species